AUGUAUACACCCGUAGUGCCAAAGUACAUAGCGCCACUUGAUGUCUAUGGUACAGCUCGGUCGAUGGGACCAACUGCACAGGUCAAUCUGAACUACAACCUUACAUGGAUUUUACCUGUUGACGCGGGGUUCAUUUACCUCCUAAGGUUCCAUUUAUGUGAGAUUCAGUCUCCUAUUACCAAGGAGAAUCAGAGGACAUUCUACAUCUACAUCAACAACCAGACAGCACAAUGGGCCACAGAUGUAAUCUCUUUGAGCGGAGGACUCGGUAGAACAUCACAUAGAGACUACGUUAUCAUGGCAAUCCAUGCAUGUGAUCUCGUGCGUCAGUUCUCAUUUUCACAAAUUCAAAUUGCCACCAACGACUUUGAUGAGGAACUAAUCAUUGGCAGAGGUGGAUUUCGUAAUGUCUACAGCGGCGUGAUAGAUGGAGGGACAAAGGUGGCGAUCAAGCGACUCAACCAGGAAUCCCAACAAGGUUAUCAUGAGUUCCAGACUGAAAUUGAGAUGUUGUGCAGUUGCCGCCAUGGCCAUCUUGUAUCUUUGAUUGGCUACUGCCAGGACAAGAAUGAGAUGAUUCUAGUGUAUGACUACAUGGCUCAUGGAACACUCCGUGAGCAUCUGUACAACACCAGAAAACCAGCACUGACGUGGCAGCAACGCCUUGAGAUCUGCAUCGGUGCAGCUCGAGGACUGCAUUACCUCCACACUGGCACAGAGAAAGGAAUGAUCCACCGUGAUGUUAAGACAUCAAACAUCCUACUGGAUGAGAGGUUCAUGGCGAAGGUCUCUGACUUUGGUCUAUCUAAGGCUUUUCCAGCCAUUGACAAUACCCACGUGAGCACCGCUGUGAAGGGCACAUUUGGAUAUUUUGAUCCGGAGUACUUCCUAUUGCGGCGUCUCACCAAAAAAUCGGAUGUUUACUCCUUCGGAGUCAUGUUGUUUGAGAUCCUAUGUGCGCGCCCUGUGAUAAACACUGAGCUCCCGGACGAGCAAGUGAGCUUACGUGACUGGGCGCUAUAUUGCCAAGAGAGGGGCGUACUUGAGGAGAUUGUUGACCCUUGUGUAAAGGACGAGAUCACCCCCGAGUGCUUCCGUAUAUUUGCAGAGCUAGCAGAAAAAUGUGUUGCUGAUCGUAGCAUAGAUCGGCCAACAAUGGAUGAUGUACUUCAGAACCUUGAGGUGGCACUCAGGUUGCAGGACAAUAACAACUGUGUCGGGAGGCCAUCGUCUCUUCAGAUCAUCGGAAUGCAUUCAGACAAACCAUCGACCCACUCAAUAAUUAGUGUCGCUGCCCAGGGAGAGAGAUUUUCAGAUAUUAUGCAUCUGGAAGGCCGAUGA
rnacentral:rRNA from 1 species